rnacentral:rRNA from 1 species
CCUACGGGAGGCAGCAGUCGAGAAUCAUUCACAAUGGGGGAAACCCUGAUGGUGCGACGCCGCGUGGGGGAAUGAAGGUCUUCGGAUUGUAAACCCCUGUCAUGUGGGAGCAAAUUAAAAAGAUCGUACCACACGAGGAAGAGACGGCUAACUCUGUGCCAGCAGCCGCGGUAAUACAGAGGUCUCAAGCGUUGUUCGGAAUCACUGGGCGUAAAGCGUGCGUAGGCUGUUUCGUAAGUCGUGUGUGAAAGGCGCGGGCUCAACCCGCGGACGGCACAUGAUACUGCGAGACUAGAGUAAUGGAGGGGGAACCGGAAUUCUCGGUGUAGCAGUGAAAUGCGUAGAUAUCGAGAGGAACACUCGUGGCGAAGGCGGGUUCCUGGACAUUAACUGACGCUGAGGCACGAAGGCCAGGGGAGCGAAAGGGAUUAGAUACCCGAGUAGUC